rnacentral:snoRNA from 1 species
GUGCAUGCGUGUGCAUGCAUGUGUGUGCGCGUGCACACACACACACACACACACACACACAAAUUCAGAAUGCUUCCCCUACUGAGUGAGGACAGCGUGAACUCUGCAUGUGAAUGCUGAGAGCUGCAUUGCAAUGGCUCCAUCCAAG